CCUACGGGUGGCUGCAGUGGGGAAUUUUGGACAAUGGGGGCAACCCUGAUCCAGCCAUGCCGCGUGAGUGAAGAAGGCCUUCGGGUUGUAAAGCUCUUUCGGCCGGGAGGAAAUCGCAUCAGUUAAUACCUGGUGUGGAUGACAGUACCGGAAUAAGAAGCACCGGCUAACUACGUGCCAGCAGCCGCGGUAAUACGUAGGGUGCGAGCGUUAAUCGGAAUUACUGGGCGUAAUGCGUGCGCAGGCGGUGAAAUCCCCGGGCUCAACCUGGGAACUGCGCUUGUGACUGGAAGGCUAGAGUAUGGCAGAGGGGGGUGGAAUUCCACGUGUAGCAGUGAAAUGCGUAGAGAUGUGGAGGAACACCGAUGGCGAAGGCAGCCCCCUGGGCCAAUACUGACGCUCAUGCACGAAAGCGUGGGGAGCAAACAGGAUUAGAUACCCCUGUAGUC
rnacentral:rRNA from 1 species